GAUGAACGCUGGCGGCGUGCCUAAUACAUGCAAGUCGAGCGAACAGACGAGGAGCUUGCUCCUCUGACGUUAGCGGCGGACGGGUGAGUCACACGUGGAUAACCUACCUAUAAGACUGGGAUAACUUCGGGAAACCGGAGCUAAUACCGGAUAAUAUAUUGAACCGCAUGGUUCAAUAGUGAAAGACGGUUUUGCUGUCACUUAUAGAUGGAUCCGCGCCGCAUUAGCUAGUUGGUAAGGUAACGGCUUACCAAGGCAACGAUGCGUAGCCGACCUGAGAGGGUGAUCGGCCACACUGGAAGUGAGACACGGUCCAGACUCCUACGGGAGGCAGCAGUAGGGAAUCUUCCGCAAUGGGCGAGAGCUUGACGGAGCAACGCCGCGUGAGUGAUGAAGGUCUUCGGAUCGGAAAACUCUGUUAUUAGGGAAGAACAAAUGUGUAAGUAACUAUGCACGUCUUGACGGUACCUAAUCAGAAAGCCACGGCUAACUACGUG
rnacentral:rRNA from 1 species